GAAUAUAGCACAUUUUGUUUAUCCAUUUAUCUGUCGGUGGACACAGGUUAUUUCCAUGUUUUAGUGGUUUGGAAUAAUGCUGCCGUGAACAUGGGUGUACACCUAUCUGUGAGUCUCUGCUUUGUUCAUGUUGCCUUCUGAUUAAACAAUUUUUUUUUCUUUUUUGUCUUUUCUAGGCCCACUCCCGUGGUAUAUGGAGGGUCCCAGGCUAGGGGUCCAGUUGGAGCUGUAGCCGCUGGCCUACACCAGAGCCACAGCAACUCGGGAUCCCAGCCGCAUCUGCAACCUACACCACAGCUCACGGCCAUGCUGGAUCGUUAACCCACUGAUCAAGGUCGGGGAUCGAACCUGCAACCUCGUGGUUCCUAGUUGGAUUCGUUAACCACUGUGCCACGACGAGAACUCCAUGAUUAAACAAAAAUUUUUUUAAACUCACUUUUUUCAUUCUUCCUUUCCUUUAUGGUUUGUGGGGUUUUUUUUGGCGGGGGGAGAUGUAGGUGCGACAUAUGGAGGUUCCCAGGCUAGGGGUCGAAUUGGAGCUGUAGCUGCCAGCCUACACCACAGCCAUAGCCACAGCCACGCCAGAUCCAAGCCACAUCUGUGACCUACACCACAGCUCACGAUUCUGUGGGGCUGUGGCUAUAGCUGGCUUGCCUGGGAACCUCUAUAUGUCACAGGUGCAGGCUAAAAAAAAAAGCGGGGGGAACCUCCCCUGUCAUAGUCUACAAAAUGGAUGAAUCUACAAGACAUUAGGCCGAGUGAAAUACGCCGGGCACAAAAGGACAAAUAUGAGAUGACUCCCCUUAAACGAGACGUCCAGAGUGGCCCAGUUCAUAGAGACAGCGUUCCAGGUGGUUGUGGGGCAGGGAGCUAUGUUUGCCAGAAACAGAAGUUCAGUUUGGGAAGAUGGAAAGUUCUGGAGCUGGAGGAGGAUGGUAGGGGCUGUAUAACCAUGUGAAUGUGCUAAAUGCCACUGGACUGUGAGAACUGCAGCCACUCUCCACACGAAAUAUCCCCUGAAGCCUUCCAAGCGGCCUGACCCAACUCCGGCACAGCUUCCUGCAGGUGCCUGGGAAGGCCCCACCCUGCUUCUCUCCCAUCUGGACCAACGCAAGGCCACCAAAAGUCACUCUUUGUGCCAGCCAGCCCCUCGCUGAUAGGCCUCUGGCCUCCCUUUCUUGGGGGUAUUUACUAAAAAUAAAAACUUAAAGAAAAACCGAUAACUUACGACUGUAACGCUUUCCUCUGUCCUUUGGAGACUGCGCGUUCCUGCUACAGUGGAGAAUGAUCUUUCUGGAAGACGUCAGAGACGGUCCUUUUAAGCAUCAUGGUCAAGAAAAGCAGAGCCUCAGCCCCCCAGGCUCUGUGGGAGGGGAGACGGCCGGCUGAGCAAAGCCGGUUCGUGGACGCAGCUGACCCAGCGGUGUUUACACGGACCAGCCCUCUCCAGGUUUUUGUAUCGAUUCACUUCCCCGACUCUGCCUGGGCCCAGCCGCUGCUUCUCCCCGCUCCUGGUCUCCCUUGAAAAUGCCCGCUCAUCUCGGGCUCAGCUGUUUCCCCUCCCGAAGGAGUUACCGAAUAAAUCUGUUUCUACAACUUUAACGCACAGCUAGGUUUAAUCUUUGACCACAGCACCCUUAGAAAUGGAAGGUGAUAAGGUUUAUUCGGCGUGGAUCUUAUCCACAAUGAAAGUAAAAUUAAAUUGAGGCGUUCCCGUUGUGGCUUAGUGGGUUAAGAGCCCAACGUAACGUCCAUGAGGGCAAGGAUUCGAUCCCUGGCCUCGCUCAGUGGGCGAAAAGAUCCGAGGUUGCCCUGAGCUGUGGUGUAGGUCGCAGGUGCUGCUCGGAUCUGGUGUGGAUGUGGCUGUGGCUGUGGCGUAGGUUGGUGGCUGUGGCGUAGGUUGUUGGCUGCAGCUCCAAUUCGACCCCUAGUCUGGGAACCUCCAUAUGCUGCAGGUGUGGCCCUAAAAAGACAAAAAGAAAAGUUAAACAGUGGAAAACGGUUUAAAAAAUUGAGCAGACAUGGAGCUUUUAUUCAAAGAGCUUGUCUCUCAGUGGAAGACCUCCAACACCUGGGGACAAUAGCGAAAAGCAGCCUGUUUGAGGCACAGACAGGAAGGAGGGUGUUUGGAGGAGGGAGGGAGAAGUUCUAGCAAAACAAAGGAGGAACAUUCUAGGCAGGAACGUCCAUUGAACCGAGGCUGGGAGGCGAGAGGGCCGGGGAGGGUUGGGCAACAGCCAGUCCUCUGACUUAACUGGAA
rnacentral:lncRNA from 1 species